rnacentral:rRNA from 1 species
GACGAACGCUGGCGGCGUGCUUAACACAUGCAAGUCGAGCGGUAAGGCCUCUUCGGGGGUACACGAGCGGCGAACGGGUGAGUAACACGUGGGUGACCUGCCUCCAGCUCUGGGAUAAGCCUGGGAAACUGGGUCUAAUACCGGAUAUGACUGCAUGCUGCAUGGUGUGUGGUGGAAAGUUGUGUUCUUAAUUGGAUGCUUCGGUUGGGGAUGGGCCCGCGGCCUAUCAGCUUGUUGGUGGGGUGAUGGCCUACCAAGGCGACGACGGGUAGCCGGC